AAAAAAAUGCUCAGUUCAGGGUUGGGCCCUAAUGCUGGCUAAAUGGAAAAUGCUCAGUUCAGGGUUGGAGCCCUAAUGCUGGCUAACAGAAAAAGUGCUCAGUUUAGGGUUGGGGUCUUAAUGCUGGCUAACUGGAAAAAUGCUCAGUUCAGGGUUGGAGCCCUAAUGCUGGCUAAUAUGGAAAAUGCUCAGUUCAGGGUUGGGGCCCUAAUGCUGGCUAAUUGGAGAAAUGCUCAGUUCAGGGUUGGAGCCCUAAUGCUGGCUAAUAUAACAAUGCUCAGUUCAGGGUUGGAGCUCUAAUGCUGGCUGACAGAAAAAUGCUCAGUUCAGGGUUGGAGCCCUAAUGCUGGCUAAAUGUAAAAUGCUCAGUUCAGGGUUGGAACCCUAAUGCUGGCUAACUGGAGAAAUGCUCAGUUCAGGGUUGGAGCCCUAAUGCUGGCUAACUGGAGAAAUGCUCAGUUCAGGGUUGGAGCCCUAAUGCUGGCUAAAUGGAAAAUGCUCAGUUCAGGGUUGGAGCCCUAAUGCUGGCUAAAUGGAAAAUGCUCAGUUCAGGGUUGGAUCCCUAAUGCUGGCUAACAGAAAAAAUGCUCAGUUCAGGGUUGGAGCCCUAAUGCUGGUAACUGGAAAAAUGCCGGUGAUUCUAACUGACCCUCUUUUUGAGUUUUCUUCUUUUAGUAAAAUGUAAAAGAGAAUUUUGGGGAAACUUCCCUUUUGAGUGGAUUCCUUAUUGCCGAGCCGUUUCUUGCACUCAUGUAUUUCUUUUCUUUUUGGGCGACAACCUGCUUCUUGUACGGUUGCUUUGGGUCACACCUGUUUCAAUUUUCCAAACAAAAAACAAUUGUUAGUUCGGAAAUGGUGGUUGGUUCGGUGACCUUGAUUGUUCCAGUUGCUUUGUCGCGUCCUUAUUUCUGUUGAGAAACUCUGCCAUGGAUUGAAUUCACAGGCGAAACCCUUUGGACUACCCAGACUCGCGUUUCCAGAUUUUGUGAU
rnacentral:lncRNA from 1 species